UUGCAGUAAAUUAAAUAAUUUUUCAAUUGAAAACGACGUAGUUGAUACAGAAACUAGUAGUGGAUCUGAAAACUCCUACCUAAGUGACAGUGAAAAUUUCGAUAAGACUUCAGAUGAAGACGAAGAAAUAUUUUAAAAGAAUUUCGGAAUGAAAACAAAAGGGUUCAACAUGUGAAAUUAUCAUUUAACAUUGAUGGUUUAUCUAAUUCAAAAUCGGGAACAGAAAGUUUAUGGCUCAUUCUUUGCUCCGAAAUAAAUGACAAUAUAGUUUUUCCAGUUGGGGCCUUCUAUGGGAAAAGUAAACCUGACGACGCAAAUGAAUUCAUGAAAGAAUUUGUGAAUGAAUUCAUUUCUUUGUGUCAAAAUGGUUUGCAAGUUUUAAAUGUUACAGUAUCCUGUGAAAAAAUUAUAUGUGAUGCUCCGGCAAAAUCUUUUGCAUUCUACUUGAAGGGUCACACCGGAUACAACAGUUACUCCAAAUGUGAAAUUGGCGGGAUUUAUAUUUCACGACAUGUAAGAAAGAAAAAAAAGAAAGGAAUAGUAUGCUUUCCUACGCCCAAAAGAUUAAAAUUGAAAACAGAUGAAGGAUUCAACCGUAAUUAUUAUAAUGAUAUUGAAAAUGGGAAGGAAACAAUUUUAAAAUCAAUUCCGAAUUUCGGUUGUAUAUCAGGAGUUCCUUUGGAUUACAUGCAUCUUGUUUUAUUAGGCGUUGUAAAGAAAAUAAUUAAAUUGUGGAUAACAGGACCGUACGGAACUAAGUUACGAAGGAAUGAAAUAAACAAAAUUUCCAAGAAAUUGAAUGCUCUUCGAUACAGCGUACCAUAAGAAUUCGUAAGAAGACCUCGUUCACUAUGGAAUUAUACACAUUGGAAAGCAACAGAGUUCCGUACAUUUUUACUUUAUGCAGCGCCAGUAGUGUUGAAAAAUAUUAGACGAGAUAUAUAUGACCAUUUUAUGCUUUUACAUACUGCAAUAUCAGUUUUGGUGAGUGACAUUCACUUAGAAAUACCAAGGAAUAUAGAUGUUUGUCAUGAAUUUCUAGUGCGAUUUGUUGAAGACUUUGAAACAAUUUAUGGAAAAAAGUAUGUGUCUCAUAAUGUCCAUAAUUUGUUGCACUUGUGCAAUGAUGUUAAACAGUAUGGUCGUUUGGAUAAAUUUAGUUCAUUUAAAUUUGAAAACUAUUUAGGUUCAAUUAAAAGAUGGAUAAGAAAAAUCUUGCAAAAUAAAACAUUUAAAUUGAACUGCAACGAGCCGAAGAAUAGCUAAGUCCUAUUAAAAAAUGGAGUAUUCGGUCAAGUUCUCAACAUUAUCGAUUGCAACAACGAAAUAUAACUAAUAAUAAAAAAAAUUAAUUGUGUUGCUCCGCUUUACGAUAACCCGGAUUCUAGAUGUAUCAAUAUUUAUAAGGGAAUUCUUCCCGAGGAAGCCGAAUUCUUAGUUCCAUUAACGAAUGUCUUAUCUAAAGUUUGGAGAAUCCCAUCUAGUAGAGGGAUGACACUGCUUCCUUUGCAACACACUGUUUAAGAAUACGUAUUUUAUUGUACGUUUUGAAAAUAAGACAAAUAAUAAGCUGAAAUUAAUUUCUGUAUUUUAUAUUUUUAACUAAAAAAAUGAAAACAUAUUAUUAAUGUAAAAAAAAGUUGCAGAAAAAAUAAGUUUAGAAGGCGUUUAAUUUUUUGAGAAAAAAAAUUACCUAUGUACGAAAGAAGAAAGAAAGAAAUAUGCUUAACUACCAGAUGAAACUCUUAAAAAAAGGCUGGAACAAAAAACCCUAAAAAGGUACGGAGUACGAUAAAACUUUUAAAGUUGCUCUCAGUUUUAAGUGCGACUCAUUUCCUUAUGGACAUGUUUAUUUUAAUUUUUCGAAGCUAAUCUCGGCGAGACAGUAUUUAGAUAAUUUACUCCAAGUUUACAGUUGGAUGAAAAAUAUUUUAGUCAACUCCAUUGGAGCUUUAGUAUUUCUCAAAGACGUGGGCACACGUGGGAUAACAGACAAAAAAGAAAUUUUGGAGUUUUUGCACAUUCACAGAUAUUUAUUGAUUCGUCAAAUAAUUUGGCUCUUAAGGAGAAACACAAAAUUAUCAAAGCGGAUAAAAUAAUUAAUGUCAAGAGACAUUAUUUAAGUGACGAGUCAAUUACAAUUUCGAAACAGUAUUACAGAAUUAUUUGUUGUUAAAAAAACUUUUUGGAUGUAAAUUAGCAUUUUAAAUGCAAUGACUAAAUUAAUUCAUCAAUCCGAAUGGAGGAAAUCACUUGUAUUUAUGAUCAAGGAAAAUUGCAUUGAAGAUUUUGGCGAUACUUUGAUAAUGGGACCUAAUAAAAAAUUACAAACAUUAUUGUAUAAUCUCAUUUUACAAUAUGUAGCAGCUGUCAAUCUUACCUGUAAUACUAUUUUAAAGAUUCGUCAAAUGGCAUUCCAAAGGUCGAAAGGCUAUAUGGAGUUUUGUUUUUUUUUUCUUUAAAUUAGGCCUUUUUUAAUUUUGCAUUUUAAACGCAAAUAAAUAAAUUAUGAAAAAAAA